rnacentral:rRNA from 1 species
CUAGUAACGGCCGCCAGUGUGCUGGAAUUCGCCCUUCAGGCCUAACACAUGCAAGUCGAGCGGUAGCACAGAGAGCUUGCUCUCGGGUGACGAGCGGCGGACGGGUGAGUAAUGUCUGGGAAACUGCCUGAUGGAGGGGGAUAACUACUGGAAACGGUAGCUAAUACCGCAUAACGUCGCAAGACCAAAGUGGGGGACCUUCGGGCCUCAUGCCAUCAGAUGUGCCCAGAUGGGAUUAGCUAGUAGGUGGGGUAACGGCUCACCUAGGCGACGAUCCCUAGCUGGUCUGAGAGGAUGACCAGCCACACUGGAACUGAGACACGGUCCAGACUCCUACGGGAGGCAGCAGUGGGGAAUAUUGCACAAUGGGCGCAAGCCUGAUGCAGCCAUGCCGCGUGUGUGAAGAAGGCCUUCGGGUUGUAAAGCACUUUCAGCGGGGAGGAAGGCGAUGAGGUUAAUAACCUCAUCGAUUGACGUUACCCGCAGAAGAAGCACCGGCUAACUCCGUGCCAGCAGCCGCGGUAAUACGGAGGGUGCAAGCGUUAAUCGGAAUUACUGGGCGUAAAGCGCACGCAGGCGGUCUGUCAAGUCGGAUGUGAAAUCCCCGGGCUCAACCUGGGAACUGCAUUCGAAACUGGCAGGCUAGAGUCUUGUAGAGGGGGGUAGAAUUCCAGGUGUAGCGGUGAAGUGCGUAGAGAUCUGGAGGAAUACCGGUGGCGAAGGCGGCCCCCUGGACGAAGACUGACGCUCAGGUGCGAAAGCGUGGGGAGCAAACAGGAUUAGAUACCCUGGUAGUCCACGCCGUAAACGAUGUCGAUUUGGAGGUUGUGCCCUUGAGGCGUGGCUUCCGGAGCUAACGCGUUAAAUCGACCGCCUGGGGAGUACGGCCGCAAGGUUAAAACUCAAAUGAAUUGACGGGGGCCCGCACAAGCGGUGGAGCAUGUGGUUUAAUUCGAUGCAACGCGAAGAACCUUACCUGGUCUUGACAUCCACAGAACUUUCCAGAAGAUGGAUUGGUGCCUUCGGGAACUGU